rnacentral:rRNA from 3 species
UCUGACCUCAAAUCAGGUAGGACUACCCGCUGAACUUAAGCAUAUCAAUAA